UACGUAGGGGCUAGCGUUAUCCGGAAUUACUUGGCGUAAAGGGUGCGUAGGUGGUUUCUUAAGUCAGAGGUGAAAGGCUACGGCUCAACCGUAGUAAGCCUUUGAAACUGGGAAACUUGAGUGCAGGAGAGGAGGGUGGAAUUCCUAGUGUAGCGGUGAAAUGCGUAGAUAUUAGGAGGAACACCAGUUGCGAAGGCGGCUCUCUGGACUGUAACUGACACUGAGGCACGAAAGCGUGGGGAGCAAACAGGAUUAGAUACCCGCGUAGUCCCUGAGCGGG
rnacentral:rRNA from 1 species